AAAUUUAGGUUAACUAUAAACCAAGGGCCUUCAAAGCCCUAAAUAGAGGAUAAUGCAUCUAAUUUCUG
rnacentral:tRNA from 1 species